GGCUCCACCACCAGGCCCGCCCGGUACAAGGUCGACACGGCCGCCCUGAUGUCGUCUUCGCUCACCAGGAUGAUUUCUUCCACGUAGCGCUGGCAGAUCUUGAAGGGCAGCGUGCCUGAGGCGAGGAUGGCAAAUCAAUUCUGGCUUUAUCGCAUCCGGACAGCUUGACCGCGGCGGACACUCCGGCCAGCAGCCCCCCUCCUCCGCAGCAGACCACCACCACGUCGGGCUCGGGCACCACCUCCAGGACCUCUAGACCCACGCUACAAGCAGAAUUUGUUUUCAGUCUCGGAAGUUUGCCAGCUCGUCCUUGCCGAUGUUCCCUCCGCUGAGUACGCAGACGGCGUUCGUCCCCUCCAGCCGGGGUAUCUUGGAGGAAGCGAUCGCGGCGAAGGCGGCGGCGCCGGAGGGCUC